UCGUGCUAGACGGGGAGCUAGCGGUGCCCUAUACCCGCAAUCCGCUAUAGCGGGGUUGAAUUCCCAUCUGAGGUUUCUUCUCCCCUUGGAGGGUUUGAAUAAGUGGCGUUGAUGAACAAGUCCUGCGCGACGAGAACUUGCCCAAUCCCGUCAGGACCGGAAGGUAGCAGCGGUAAGCAAGCCCUCUUGGGUGCCGCAGGGGCACUUGAUCGGAGUUAACUGUUCCCGCUCUCAUUGGGGUGAUGGAUCGACGGUGGGUGCACGA
rnacentral:SRP_RNA from 1 species